rnacentral:rRNA from 1 species
UACAGAGGGUGCGAGCGUUGUCCGGAAUCACUGGGCGUAAAGGGCGCGUAGGCGGCUUGAUAAGCGUGCGGUGAAAGCCCGGGGCUCAACCCCGGGUCGGCCGUGCGGACUGUCGAGCUGGAGCACUGUAGAGGCAGGUGGAAUUCCGGGUGUAGCGGUGGAAUGCGUAGAGAUCCGGAAGAACACCGGUGGCGAAGGCGGCCUGCUGGGCAGUGGCUGACGCUGGAGGCGCGACAGCGUGGGGAGCAAACAGG